GACGAACGCUGGCGGCGUGCUUAACACAUGCAAGUCGAACGGAAAGGCCCUGCUUUUGUGGGGUGCUCGAGUGGCGAACGGGUGAGUAACACGUGAGUAACCUGCCCUUGACUUUGGGAUAACUUCAGGAAACUGGGGCUAAUAUCGGAUAGGAGCUCCUGCUGCACGGUGGGCGUUGGAAAGUUUCGGCGGUGGGGGAUGGUCUCGCGGCUUAUCAGCUUGUUGGUGGGGUAGUGGCUUACCAAGGUUUUGACGGGUAGCCGGCCUGGGAGGGUGACCGGGCACAUGGGGACUGAGAGACGGCCCAGACGGCAACGGGAGGCAACAGUGGGGAAUAUGGCACAAUGGGCGGGAGCCUGAGGCAGAAGCGCCGCGUGCGGGAUAACGGCCUUCGGGUUAUAAACCGCUUUCGCCUGAGACGAGGCGUGAGUGACGGUAAUGGGUAAAGAAGCACCGGCUAACUACGUG
rnacentral:rRNA from 1 species